rnacentral:rRNA from 1 species
GGUCAAGUGAAUAAGCGCAUACGGUGGAUGCCUAGGCGGUAGGAGGCGAUGAAAGACGUGGUAGCCUGCGAAAAGCCUCGGGGAGCUGGCAAACAAGCUUUGAUCCGAGGAUAUCUGAAUGGGGGAACCCACCGGUCAUAAGACCGGUAUCGUACACUGAAUACAUAGGUGUACGAGGCGAACCUGGGGAACUGAAACAUCUAAGUACCCAGAGGAAAAGAAAUCAACCGAGAUUCCCUAAGUAGCGGCGAGCGAACGGGGAACAGCCUUCAAGUAAUAGCAAUUUUCUUAGUGGAGCAGUCUGGAAAGUCUGGCCAUAGUGGGUGAUAGCCCCGUACACGAAAAGAGAGUUGUGGUACUGAGCUUGAGACAAGUAGGUCGGAGCACGUGAAACUUUGACUGAACAUGGGGGGACCAUCCUCCAAGGCUAAAUACUCCCUACCGACCGAUAGUGAACCAGUACCGUGAGGGAAAGGCGAAAAGAACCCCGUUUAGGGGAGUGAAAUAGAUCCUGAAACCGUAUGCGUACAAGCAGUGGGAGCAGACUUGUUCUGUGACUGCGUACCUUUUGUAUAAUGGGUCAGCGACUUACUACUCAGUGGCAAGCUUAACCGAUAGGGGAGGCGUAGCGAAAGCGAGUCUUAAUAGGGCGAAUUAGUCGCUGGGUGUAGACCCGAAACCGGGCGAUCUAUCCAUGGCCAGGGUGAAGGUGAGGUAACACUUACUGGAGGCCCGAACCCACUUAUGUUGAAAAAUGAGGGGAUGAGCUGUGGAUCGGAGUGAAAGGCUAAUCAAGCCCGGAGAUAGCUGGUUCUCCUCGAAAGCUAUUUAGGUAGCGCCUCGUGUAUCACUUCUGGGGGUAGAGCACUGUUAUGGCUAGGGGGUCAUCCCGACUUACCAACCCAUUGCAAACUCCGAAUACCAGAAAGUGCAAUCACGGGAGACACACGGCGGGUGCUAACGUCCGUCGUGGAGAGGGAAACAACCCAGACCGCCAGCUAAGGUCCCAAAGUUAUUGCUCAGUGGGAAACGAUGUGGAAAGGCCCAGACAGCCAGGAGGUUGGCUUAGAAGCAGCCAUCCUUUAAAGAAAGCGUAAUAGCUCACUGGUCGAGUCGGUCUGCGCGGAAGAUUUAACGGGGCUAAGCAAUACACCGAAGCUGCGGAUGCACAGUUUACUGUGCAUGGUAGAGGAGCGUUCCGUAAGCCGUCGAAGGUGAACUGUAAGGUUUGCUGGAGGUAUCGGAAGUGCGAAUGCUGACAUGAGUAACGAUAAAGGGGGUGAGAGGCCCCCUCGCCGAAAGUCCAAGGUUUCCUGCGCAACGCUAAUCGGCGCAGGGUUAGUCGGCCCCUAAGGCGAGGCAGAAAUGCGUAGUCGAUGGAAAGCAGGUCAAUAUUCCUGCACCUCUUAUAACUGCGAUGAAGGGACGGAGAAGGCUAGAUCAUCCGGAGAUUGGUUGUUCCGGUUUAAGCGAGUAGGGAGUGAACUUAGGUAAAUCCGGGUUCACACUAUCCUGAGACGUGAUGACGAGCUCACUUGUGAGUGAAGUGAUUGAUGCCAUGCUUCCUAGAAAAGCUUCUAAGCUUCAGGUUAUAAGAGACCGUACCCCAAACCAACACAGGUGGACAGGGUGAGAAUCCUAAGGCGCUUGAGAGAACUCGGGUGAAGGAACUAGGCAAAAUGGCACCGUAACUUCGGGAGAAGGUGCGCCCCAAUUAGGUGAAGUGACUUGCUCACGGAGCUGAACGGGGUUGAAGAGACCAGGUGGCUGCAACUGUUUACUAAAAACAUAGCACUCUGCAAACUCGAAAGAGGACGUAUAGGGUGUGACGCCUGCCCGGUGCCGGAAGGUUAAUUGAUGAGGUUAGUCUUCGGACGAAGCUUUUGAUCGAAGCCCCGGUAAACGGCGGCCGUAACUAUAACGGUCCUAAGGUAGCGAAAUUCCUUGUCGGGUAAGUUCCGACCUGCACGAAUGGCGUAAUGACGGCCACACUGUCUCCACCCGAGACUCAGUGAAAUUGAAUUCGCUGUUAAGAUGCAGCGUACCCGCGGCUAGACGGAAAGACCCCGUGAACCUUUACUACAGCUUUGCACUGAACGCUGAACCUACUUGUGUAGGAUAGCUGGGAGGCAUCGAAGCGGUCACGCCAGUGAUCGUGGAGCCAACCUUGAAAUACCAGCCUGGUAUGUUUGGCGUUCUAACCUCGACCCGUUAUCCGGGUUAGGGACAGUGUAUGGUGGGUAGUUUGACUGGGGCGGUCUCCUCCUAAAGAGUAACGGAGGAGCGCGACGGUACCCUAAGCACGGUCGGAAAUCGUGCGUUUAGUGCAAAGGCAUAAGGGUGCUUAACUGCGAGACAGACACGUCGAGCAGGUACGAAAGUAGGUCUUAGUGAUCCGGUGGUUCUGAAUGGAAGGGCCAUCGCUCAACGGAUAAAAGGUACUCCGGGGAUAACAGGCUGAUUCCUCCCAAGAGUCCAUAUCGACGGAGGAGUUUGGCACCUCGAUGUCGGCUCAUCACAUCCUGGGGCUGUAGCAGGUCCCAAGGGUAUGGCUGUUCGCCAUUUAAAGUGGUACGCGAGCUGGGUUUAGAACGUCGUGAGACAGUUCGGUCCCUAUCUGCCGUGGGCGUUGGAAGUUUGAGGGAAGCUGCUCCUAGUACGAGAGGACCGGAGUGGACGUACCCCUGGUGUUCGGGUUGUCAUGCCAAUGGCAUUGCCCGGUAGCUACGUACGGACGGGAUAAGCGCUGAAAGCAUCUAAGCGCGAAGCCCCUCCCAAGAUGAGACUUCCCAGGAACCUUGAGUUCCCUAAAGGUCCGUUGGAGACUACGACGUUGAUAGGCACGGUGUGGAAGCGCAGUAAUGCGUGAAGCUAACGUGUACUAAUUGACCGUGAGGCUUGACCAU